UGAUAGGUUAAGCUUUGCAUGGUGGGUGCUU
rnacentral:piRNA from 1 species